rnacentral:rRNA from 1 species
GUGAGGAAUAUUGGACAAUGGGCGCAAGCCUGAUCCAGCCAUGCCGCGUGCAGGAAGACGCAUCUAUGGUGUGUAAACUGCUUUUGUACGGGAAGAAACACUCCCUCGUGAGGGAGCUUGACGGUACCGUAAGAAUAAGGAUCGGCUAACUCCGUGCCAGCAGCCGCGGUAAUACGGAGGAUCCAAGCGUUAUCCGGAAUCAUUGGGCUUAAAGGGUCCGUAGGCGGUUUAAUAAGUCAGUGGUGAAAGCCCAUCGCCCAAAGAUGGAACGGCCAUUGAUACUGUUAGACUUGAAUUACAAGGAAGUAACUAGAAUAUGUAGUGUAGCGGUGAAAUGCUUAGAUAUUACAUGGAAUACCAAUUGCGAAGGCAGGUUACUACUUGUGGAUUGACGCUGAUGGACGAAAGCGUGGGGAGCGAACAGGAUUAGAAACCCUAGUAGUCC